rnacentral:lncRNA from 1 species
GCAUCCCAUUGAAGAACGUAUAAUGCAUCACCAUGUGGAACUUGGUGUAAUUUGAUUUAGUGUUGUUGGGUGUGAUAUCAUGCAUUCCACAUCGUGGAAUCAUCAUUUGUUUGAUGGUACUAUCGUCGAGGAUACCAGUAACAUUCAGAUGAAAAUAGUUCUGGUAUGUUUUGAGUGCAGACUCCAAGAGAUCAUCAAAAUCGCUGGUCAUGAGAUUGACAUCACUUGGAUAGUAUCCAAACCUUUUGAGGUAUUGUUUGAGCUCAACAAGUCCUUCCACAGUUUGGCCCUUUCGAACUCCCUCCAGCUUUUGAAGGGAGCUAAAAGAAUAUUGCUGAUGCUCGGAUUUCAAAAUCCUCGCCAGACCUAUGAAGGACUGGAUAGAAAAGAAGGUGAGGAUAGCUAACAAAAGA